CCUGCUGAGUGCGCACCUGGCGCUGAAACCAGAGCCGCGCUCUACAGGUGGUCCCCACCCUCCGGGAUCUCCUGCGACCACGCUGAGUGCCGAGGACAGGAGCCCUGUCUACACCUGUGUGUCCCCUUCUCCCCUCCAGGACCAGCCCAGCAGAGGCUCAGGAGCCCAGAGGACAGUCCCUGCAGUGCGCCUUCCAUCCACUGGGAGGCACAAGACCAGUCUGAACAGCAGAGGGAGCAGGAGGAUGGGGCUACAGGGAAAGGGUCCUGGCUGGAGGCCUGUGGGCAGGCAGGGCUGUUCUGGGCCCUCUGGAGAGGAGCUGGUUGACAGCUUGUUCUAGGGUUGCAGGAGGGCACAGUCCCUGAAAUGCCCACGGGGUCUACACCCCAAGACCUUGAUCUGAGGUAGGAGAGGAAGACAGCUGCAUCCCAUUCUACCCCAUUCCACCCUGCGUGGACUUUGAGAUCCAGGUGGGCGCCAUGGGAAAGGUAGCAGGGCGGGUCAGUGCUGUCUGGAAAGAUUAGAUAAGGAGGAGGAAGGGAGCUAGACAGAAGUGGGGCAGGUGACUAUCAAGGAGCCUGACUCAAAACCUACCAGCUUGGCCACCAUCAGAGCACCAUGGAAGGGGGAAUGACAGACUGGG
rnacentral:lncRNA from 1 species